AUUGAACGCUGGCGGCAGGCUUAACACAUGCAAGUCGAGCGGAGCGAGGGUGCUUGCACCUUAGCUUAGCGGCGGACGGGUGAGUAAUGCUUAGGAAUCUGCCUAUUAGUGGGGGACGACAUUCCGAAAGGAAUGCUAAUACCGCAUACGCCCUACGGGGGAAAGCAGGGGAUCUUCGGACCUUGCGCUAAUAGAUGAGCCUAAGUCGGAUUAGCUAGUUGGUGGGGUAAAGGCCUACCAAGGCGACGAUCUGUAGCGGGUCUGAGAGGAUGAUCCGCCACACUGGGACUGAGACACGGCCCAGACUCCUACGGGAGGCAGCAGUGGGGAAUAUUGGACAAUGGGCGGAAGCCUGAUCCAGCCAUGCCGCGUGCGUGAAGAAGGCCUUUUGGUUGUAAAGCACUUUAAGCGAGGAGGAGGCUCUUAAGGUUAAUACCCUUGAUGAGUGGACGUUACUCGCAGAAUAAGCACCGGCUAACUCUGUGCCAGCCGCCGCUGUAACAC
rnacentral:rRNA from 1 species